GCUGGCUGGGAUCCAAUCCAUUGUCCUGGGUGGUGAGCAAAACAGAGGAUCCGCUUCGGGAAAGUCGUAUUCCUGGUCGUAAUGUUGAUUGCAGUGCAGUAACUGGAAGUCAGCUGGCUGUUGUCUCCCUUCAGGGUGGUGGAAGCAUCUCAGAGACAGAAAGAGAGUGGUGAAGGGGUGUAAAACGUGCUACCGAACCAGGGGUGGGGAGGCUGCUUGGUUAUUGUUUCUACUGCUGAUUGACGCUUUAACAGAGGAGAAGUGGAAGGGAGAAGCAGAGCCUGCACUCUCUCUCACCUUGUGUCAAUAUGUCUGGGAUACGAGUCGAGAAGAGGGAUAGGGGAAAAAACACAAAAUUAAUGCAAUCAUGACGCAGGCAGAGGCUGCUCAGAAUGAACACUGCAGACUGUCUCCUCUGUUCCAAUGAUCCAGCAUCUCCCUGGGAAGCAGGUGGUUCAGGGCUCAGCCAACCCCACUGAAAGGAAACCCUCCAGGACCUGAGCCCUAGGACCAUGCCUCAGGACUACCUGGC
rnacentral:lncRNA from 1 species